rnacentral:rRNA from 1 species
GAGUUUGAUCCUGGCUCAGAGCGAACGCUGGCGGCAGGCCUAACACAUGCAAGUCGAACGAACUCUUCGGAGUUAGUGGCGGACGGGUGAGUAACACGUGGGAACGUGCCUUUUGGUUCGGAAUAACUCAGGGAAACUUGUGCUAAUACCGAAUGUGCCCUUCGGGGAAAGAUUUAUCGCCAUUAGAGCGGCCCGCGUCUGAUUAGCUAGUUGGUGAGGUAAAGGCUCACCAAGGCGACGAUCAGUAGCUGGUCUGAGAGGAUGAUCAGCCACACUGGGACUGAGACACGGCCCAAACUCCUACGGGAGGCAGCAGUGGGGAAGUCUUGCGCAAUGGGCGAAAGCCUGACGCAGCCAUGCCGCGUGAAUGAUGAAGGUCUUAGGAUUGUAAAAUUCUUUCACCGGGACGAUAAUGACGGUACCCGGAGAAGAAGCCCCGGCUAACUUCGUGCCAGCCGCCGCAGU